rnacentral:rRNA from 1 species
UGAACGCUGGCGGCAUGCCUUACACAUGCAAGUCGAACGGCAGCACGGGUGCUUGCACCUGGUGGCGAGUGGCGAACGGGUGAGUAAUACAUCGGAAUGUGCCUUGUAGUGGGGGAUAGCUCGGCGAAAGCCGGGCUAAUACCGCAUACGCUCUACGGAGGAAAACGGGGGAUCGUAAGACCUCGUGCUAAUGGAUGAGCCUACGUCGGAUUAGCUAGUUGGUAGGGUAACGGCCUACCAAGGCGACGAUCCGUAGCUGGUCUGAGAGGACGAUCAGCCACACUGGGACUGAGACACGGCCCAGACUCCUACGGGAGGCAGCAGUGGGGAAUAUUGGACAAUGGGGGCAACCCGUGAUCCAGCAAUGCCGCGUGUGUGAAGAAGGCCUGCGGGUUGUAAACGCACUUUCAGAGGGGUAAGAAAAAACUCGGAGCUAACACCUCCGAGCUUGACGUUACCCUUAGAAGAAGCACCGGCUAACUCCGUGCCAGCAG